rnacentral:rRNA from 1 species
CCUACGGGAGGCAGCAGUGGGGAAUCUUGUGCAAUGGACGAAAGUCUGACACAGCCACGCCGCGUGCGGGAAGAAGGCAUUCGGGUUGUAAACCGCUUUCAGCAGGAACGAAAAUGACGGUACCUGCAGAAGAAGAUGCGGCCAACUACGUGCCAGCAGCCGCGGUGAUACGUAGGCAUCAAGCGUUGUCCGGAUUUAUUGGGCGUAAAGAGCUCGUAGGCGGUUCAGCAAGUCGGGUGUGAAAACUCUGGGCUUAACCCAGAGCCUGCACUCGAAACUGCUGUGACUAGAGUUCGGUAGGGGAGCAGGGAAUUCCUAGUGUAGCGGUGAAAUGCGCAGAUAUUAGGAGGAACACCAAUGGCGAAGGCACUGCUCUGGGCCGAUACUGACGCUGAGGAGCGAGAGCGUGGGUAGCAAACAGGAUUAGAUACCCUGGUAGUCCACGCCGUAAACGAUGGGCACUAGGUGUGGGUCUCUAACCAACGAGAUCUGCGCCGUCGCUAACGCAUUAAGUGCCCCGCCUCGGGGAGGUACGGUCGGCAAGACUAAAACUACAAAGGAAAGUUAGACGG